GAUGAACGCUAGCGGCAGGCUUAAUACAUGCAAGUCGAGGGGCAGCACAGAUAGCAAUAUUGGGUGGCGACCGGCAAACGGGUGCGGAACACGUACGCAACCUUCCCAAAACAGGUGAAUAGCCCUCCGAAAGGAGGAUUAAUACACCGUAAGAUAUAGAGGUGGCAUCAUUUUUUAUAUUAUAGGUCGCAAGAUCGGUUUUGGAUGGGCGUGCGCCUGAUUAGGUAGUGGUGUGGGUAACGGCCCACCAAGCCUUCGAUCAGUAACUGGUGUGAGAGCACGACCAGUCACACGGGCACUGAGACACGGGCCCGACUCCUACGGGAGGCAGCAGUAAGGAAUAUUGGUCAAUGGACNCAAGUCUGAACCAGCCAUGCCGCGUGCAGGAUGAA
rnacentral:rRNA from 1 species